CGUAUCACCCAAGACAACUUUACGGAGUUGACGAUUGACGGAGCGAAGCGACGUCAAAGCGUUCAUUAAAGUCGAGUUGGCUUAGGGAUACGUUCGUUGGGUAGGGGAGCGUUCUGUAAGCCUGUGAAGGUGUGUCGUGAGGCAUGCUGGAGGUAUCAGAAGUGCGAAUGCUGACAUAAGUAACGAUAAAGCGGGUGAAAAGCCCGCUCGCCGGAAGACCAAGGGUUCCUGUCCAACGUUAAUCGGGGCAGGGUGAGUCGACCCCUAAGGCGAGGCCGAAAGGCGUAGUCGAUGGGAAACGGGUUAAUAUUCCCGUACUUGGUGUUACUGCGAAGGGGGGACGGAGAAGGCUAUGUUGGCCGGGCGACGGUUGUCCCGGUUUAAGCGUGUAGGUGUGUGUUCCAGGUAAAUCCGGUUCACUUUAACACUGAGGCGUGACGACGA
rnacentral:rRNA from 1 species